ACAUACAAGUAGUAGGGAAGGAAACUGGACCGACCCUUCGGGAGCUUGUACAGGUGCUGCAUGGCUGUCGUCAGCUCGUGUCGUGAGAUGUUCGGUUAAGUCCGCUAACGAGCGCAACCCUCGCUGUGUGUUACAAGUGUCACACGGAACUGCCGGUCAUAAACCGGAGGAAGGUGGGGAUGACGUCAAGUCAGCAUGGCCUUUAUAUCCUGGGCUACACACACGCUACAAUGGGAAAGGGACAAUAGGUAGCGAAACCGCGAGGUGGAGCCAAUCCAGCAAAAUUUACCCUCAGUUCAGAUUGCAGGCUGCAACUCGCCUGCAUGAAGUUGGAGUUGCUAGUAAACGCAGGUCAGCCAUACUGCGUUGAAUACGUUCCCGGGGCUU
rnacentral:rRNA from 1 species